AUGAUCCAAAAAAUCAAACCUUGUAAUAUUGUAAGAUUGAGGUGGUACCUAACACCUUCCUCCUCAAGAAACCCAAUUCCACAAGUUUCGUUUUCGUUAAAUGACGGUGACCAAUAUUUCAGUUUUUUAAAGAUAGUAGAUGAAUUCAACAAAGCAAGUCGGCUGGCUCCUUCAGAUUCUGUAUAUUUAAUUUCUUCUAUGAGGAAAAAAAAAAAAAAAGUGAAAGGGCAAAUUACAUGUUUUGGUACUCGUAGAGCAUACUGUAACUCAAAUUUUUGGUUUGAUAAGGUCCAAAAAUCAUAG
rnacentral:lncRNA from 1 species